ACAACCUUUAACCCCUUAACGAGGUCCGUCACUCAGGAGAAACCCUUAAAUUAACCCCAGAUCGCCGUGAUCGCGGGGUUAAUGGUGCUCCGGUCUGCCUCUGUAUUAGAGGCAGACUGGGAGCACCCACCCGAUAGUGCUGCCCCAGCACAUGUGCUCACUCUGACAGCAUGUCAGAGCGAGCACAUGUGCUUAGUAUACUUACCUUCCG